rnacentral:rRNA from 1 species
CGGCCUUGACAUACUAAGAACUUUCCAGAGAUGGAUUGGUGCCUUCGGGAACUUAGAUACAGGUGCUGCAUGGCUGUCGUCAGCUCGUGUCGUGAGAUGUUGGGUUAAGUCCCGNAACGAGCGCAACCCUUUUCCUUAUUUGCCAGCGGGUCAUGCCGGGAACUUUAAGGAUACUGCCAGUGACAAACUGGAGGAAGGCGGGGACGACGUCAAGUCAUCAUGGCCCUUACGGCCAGGGCUACACACGUGCUACAAUGGCCGGUACAAAGGGUUGCUACCUCGCGAGAGGAUGCUAAUCUCAAAAAGCCGAUCGUAGUCCGGAUCGCAGUCUGCAACUCGACUGCGUGAAGUCGGAAUCGCUAGUAAUCGCGGAUCAGAAUGCCGCGGUGAAUACGUUCCCGGGCCUUGUACACACCGCCCGUCACACCAUGGGAGUUUGUUGCACCAGAAGUAGGUAGUCUAACCGCAAGGAGGACGCUUACCACGGUGUGGCCGAUGACUGGGGUGAAGUCGUAACAAGGUAAGCGUAGAUGA